rnacentral:rRNA from 1 species
CACAGACAACCAGGAUGUUGGCUUAGAAGCAGCCACUCAUUCAAAGAGUGCGUAAUAGCUCACUGGUCGAGUGAUCCUGCGCCGAAGAUUUCCGGGGCUAAAACUUACUACCGAAGCUACGGCAUCAGUAAUGAUGGGUAGGGGAGCUUCCCAUACGGGUUGAAGCAUGACCGGAAGGACAUGUGGACAGUAUGGGAGUGAGAAUGUUGGCAUGAGUAGCGAGAUGUGGGUGAGAAUCCCACAGGCCGUAAACCCAAGGUUUCCAGGGGAAGGUUCGUCCGCCCUGGGUUAGUCGGGACCUAAGCUGAGGCCGAAAGGCGUAGGUGAUGGACAACAGGUUGAUAUUCCUGUACUACCGAUAACCGUUUGAGAGAUGGGAUGACACAGUAGGAUAAGCUAAGCACACUGUUGGUUAUGUGUGCCCAAGCAUUGAGGCAGUCAAAGUAGGCAAAUCCGCUUUGAUAAUGCUGGGAUGUGAUGGGGAGCGAAAUUUAGUAGCGAAGUAGCUGAUUUCACACUGUCAAGAAAAGUCUCUAUCGAGGUUAAAGGUACCCGUACCGCAAACCGACACAGGUGGGUGAGGAGAGUAUCCUAAGGCCA